rnacentral:rRNA from 1 species
UAAGGAAUAUUGGUCAAUGGACGAAAGUCUGAACCAGCCAUGCCGCGUGAAGGAUGAAGGCCCUCUGGGUUGUAAACUUCUUUUAUCUGGGACGAAAAAAGGGCUUUCUAGCUCACUUGACGGUACCAGAGGAAUAAGCACCGGCUAACUCCGUGCCAGCAGCCGCGGUAAUACGGAGGGUGCAAGCGUUAUCCGGAUUUACUGGGUUUAAAGGGAGCGUAGGUGGGUCGGUAAGUCAGUGGUGAAAUCUUCGAGCUUAACUCGGAAACUGCCAUUGAUACUAUCGAUCUUGAAUUAUCUGGAGGUAAGCGGAAUAUGUCAUGUAGCGGUGAAAUGCUUAGAUAUGACAUAGAACACCCAUUGCGAAGGCAGCUUACUACGGAUAUAUUGACACUGAGGCUCGAAAGCGUGGGGAUCAAACAG